GGUUUAUGGGUGGAAACAUGCUGGUGAUGAGGAAAAUCAACAUCAAAAUGGACAUAAUAUCUCCAACUUAGGGCAUUUGGCAACAAAAUUAAUCCCAGGGUUCAAAUUUAGAAGGAUUCUUAGAGUUUGUGCUUGGCUUAGAGAAAUUGAUGAUGCAAAGCAAAAACAUGAAUGUGCACUCGCACUGGCAAAAAAGCUGGUAAAUG